rnacentral:rRNA from 1 species
GUCUAUGGCCACACCACCCUGAAUAAGCCUGAUCUUAUCUGAUCUCGAAAGCUAAGCAAGGGUGGGCUUGGUUAGUACUUGGAUGGGAGACCACCUAGGAAGACCAGGUGUAAAAAAUA